UGGGGAAUAUUGCGCAAUGGGCGGAAGCCUGACGCAGCGACGCCGCGUGAGGGAUGACGGCCUUCGGGUUGUAAACCUCUUUCAGCUCUGACGAAGCGAGAGUGACGGUAGGAGCAGAAGAAGCACCGGCCAACUACGUGCCAGCAGCCGCGGUAAUACGUAGGGUGCAAGCGUUGUCCGGAAUUAUUGGGCGUAAAGAGCUCGUAGGCGGUUUGUCGCGUCGAAUGUGAAAACCCGGGGCUCAACCCCGGGCCUGCAUUCGAUACGGGCAGACUAGAGUUCGGUAGGGGAGUCUGGAAUUCCUGGUGUAGCGGUGAAAUGCGCAGAUAUCAGGAGGAACACCGGUGGCGAAGGCGGGACUCUGGGCCGAUACUGACGCUGAGGAGCGAAAGCGUGGGGAGCAAACA
rnacentral:rRNA from 1 species